GGCCCCCCUUUUCACUAUUGAAGCCGGCGAACUCAAGUCCAUCACCGGCGGACUCGAUUGAAAGCCACUGUUGCUGGAUCUGCAUCGGUCGCCGUGCUGCUGCUGCUGCUGGAUCUCUUCGACCAGUAAGCAAGUUAAAGUCUCCGCUGCUGCUGGAUCUGCACCGGUCGCCGCGCUGCUGCUGGAUCGCCGCUGUCGCCGCUGCUGCUGCUGCUGGAUCGCCGCGCUGCUGCCGGAUCGCUGCUGCUGCUGCUGGAUCGCCGCGCUGCUGCUGCCUCGAACACCAGACCGUCUGCCUGGCUGUUG
rnacentral:lncRNA from 1 species